UACGUAGGUGGCAAGCGUUGUCCGGAUUUAUUGGGUUUAAAGGGUGCGUAGGCGGCUUUGUAAGUCAGUGGUGAAAUAUGGCAGCUCAACUGUCAAGGUGCCAUUGAUACUGCAAAGCUUGAGUACAGAUGAGGUAGGCGGAAUUGACGGUGUAGCGGUGAAAUGCUUAGAUAUCGUCAAGAACACCUAUAGCGAAGGCAGCUUACUAGGCUGUAACUGACGCUGAGGCACGAAAGUGUGGGGAUCAAACAGG
rnacentral:rRNA from 1 species